UGAAGUCGAGGUCGGUCCUACAGCGCCACCUGGAGGUAGGCUGAGAGGCUUGCCUCUGCCUAGGUGCUCUUCUGAGAGCUGCUCUGGAAUUUAGAGGCGGCAUCUUGUCCAGAACCAUCUGCAGACUCCCCUUAUUUGUUUUGGGCCCCAGAGCUAGUCUAGAUGGUCAUGCCCGAAGCAGUGGUGGAGUUGUGGCUUGUUCAAUAACAGAUUCAACCCUCAUCACCUUUAUGCAGAGUUAACUGUUGCAGUGGCAACUGAAGAUGGCAAUCUAACUAGCUUGGAGGUAUUGAAAUCGGCUUGUUGGACUCAGAUCUCUCUCAGUUGUGUGACCGGUGAUAAUUAAGUCAUUAGGCCUCAGCAUCUCCGUCCCGCAAGGGGACAGGAGGUGAAGAUUCAGGGAGGUAGUAGUGCACAGGUGCUCCUAGAACACAUCUGUAAUCUCAGCUUGUGGAAGGCGCAAGGUGAGUAUGACCUUAAGCUAAGUAGUACGUUCCAGAUCUAAGCUACAUGAGGCCUUGUUUCAAAACAAAACAACCUACAUGGUAUACAACCUGAUAAACUUAAGCUGGGCGUGGUGGUGCAUGAUUUUAAUCGCAGCCCUCAGGAGGCAGAAGCAGGUGGAUCUCUGAGUUCGAGGGCAGCCUGGUCUACAGAGUUCCAAAGCAACCGGGGCUACACAGAGAAAUCCUGUCUCAAAAAAAGAAAAGAAAAUAUGAAAAAUUUUAAAUAAAGUACAGAAUGGC
ensembl:lincRNA Gm26706 predicted gene, 26706